GACCUACCUUUAGCAGUUUCUGCUCCGCUAGGAUAUCCUAAUUCAACAUCGAGGUGACAAACUUUAUUAGCGAUAUGAACUCUUUAAUAAAAUUAUCCUGUUAUCCCUAAAGUAGCUUUUAUUUAAUAGUUGUUCUCCUUUUUUUACAGGUAAAACGGGUCAUUAUAGCCUACAUUGUAACUGUUAAAAUUAUGGUUUAUACAAUAAAUGUUUUAUUAUUUUGCUUACUUUUUUUAUUUUUAAAAAGUCCUUGCCCCAAGUAAACUACCAAUCUGUCAAUUUUUGUUAAGAGGUUAACAGAUUAUAGUUAAGCUUUAUAGGGUCUUAUCGUCUAACGAUUUUAAAUAGCAUCUUAACUAUUAUUUCAAUUUUUUAAUUCUUACACUUAAGACAGUGAAACUCUCGUAUUACCAUUCAUACAAUCCGCUAAUUAAGCGGCAAUUUAUUGCGCUACUUUGAUGCAGUUAGGAAUACUGCGGCCAUUAAGAAUUUUUUUCUCCUCUUUCUUUAAAAGAAGAUAUUAUAAACCAUUGGGCAGGCAUCACCUUAGAUUGUUUUCUAGGGCUAUGUUUUUG
rnacentral:rRNA from 1 species